GACGAACGCUGGCGGCGUGCUUAACACAUGCAAGUCGAACGGUAAGGCCCUUCGGGGUACACGAGUGGCGAACGGGUGAGUAACACGUGGGUGAUCUGCCCUGCACUUCGGGAUAAGCCUGGGAAACUGGGUCUAAUACCGGAUAGGACCACUGCCUGCAUGGGUGGUGGUGGAAAGCUUUUGCGGUGUGGGAUGGGCCCGCGGCCUAUCAGCUUGUUGGUGGGGUGAUGGCGUACCAAGGCGACGACGGGUAGCCGGCCUGAGAUGGUGACCGGCCACACUGGGACUGAGAUACGACCCAGACUCCUACGGGAGGCAGCAGUGGGGAAUAUUGCACAAUGGGCGCAAGCCUGAUGCAGCGACGCCGCGUGAGGGAUGACGGCCUUCGGGUUGUAAACCUCUUUCAGCACCGACGAAGCGCAAGUGACGGUAGGUGCAGAAGAAGGACCGGCCAACUACGUGCCAGCCGCCGCGGUAA
rnacentral:rRNA from 1 species